UACGGAGGAUCCGAGCGUUAUCCGGAUUUAUUGGGUUUAAAGGGUGCGCAGGCGGGAGAUUAAGUCGGCGGUGAAAUUUUUCAGCUCAACUGUAAAAGUGCCUUCGAAACUGGUUUUCUUGAGUGUGGAUGAAGUAGGCGGAAUUUGUGGUGUAGCGGUGAAAUGCAUAGAUAUCACGAGGAACUCCGAUUGCGCAGGCAGCUUACUAAGCUACAACUGACGCUCAUGCACGAAGGCGUGGGGAUCAAACAGGAUUAGAUACCCU
rnacentral:rRNA from 1 species